rnacentral:tRNA from 1 species
GGGCCGGUAGAUCAGUGGUAGAUCACUCCCUUGGCAUGGGAGAGGCCCGGGGUUCAAAUCCCCGCCGGUCCA